GGUUCUGGCACGCCCAUAGCUCUAAGUGAGGCAAACAGCCCUUACAGGGGUGUGGUUUUUUGUAAUUAUUUUUCGAGGCAAUCUGUGGAAGAAUGUGUUGAUGUGAAAUUCAGAGAUGACGAAGACUUAAGUCUGGGGGACACCUGUGGCAGCUACUGCCUCAGUACCUUCUUCGUUGACCUCCACAAAAGCUUUGUGAAUAACUUUUGAGAUGAAGAGGUCCUUCUUCACUGACAUCCCUGUGAAAUCAGCCUGAACUGGAUCAAAAGCGUUUCGUAUGCCCAUGCUGCUCAAAGUGGAUUUAAGAUCAUAAUUUUCUUCCAGCUUCAAUUUGGGCAGGUACAGUUCUACUUCAGCUUUCAUCAUACUGUCUGAGUUGGACCAUUCAGCCAGUUUCUCAUAGGUCAGCUCUCUUUCCACCUGCAAUGAAUUUGGGAAGAAAAUAGUCAUAAUGCAAAGGACAAAGAGAAGACAUGCACACCAGGAUAUAACACUCAUCAAGAUGUAAAAUAAAGUCCAGCUACCAGCUGCGUACGCAGCUGGGAUGCUCUCUGUAUUCUUAGGACGUGAUCCUGCAAAGUGCUGCGUGACUUACAGUCUUGUAUAUUUCCUUAAAGGUGGUAAGGUGUAGCAGUGAACCUGCAGAAUAGUUCCUUAUUUUUUUGCGGAUGUGAAAAGCAUUACUUUUUUGCGAUGUCAUGGUGAUGCUAAUAGGCCCUCGGUAUAUGUAUAUAUGAAAGACGUUUCUCUUAGUGCUAAGUAAGUAGGAUGCAUGGGACCUUGGGUACAAAUAAAAAUGUUUGCUCUGAUCUGUUUAGAGUCUGAAACCGAUCCUGGCAUGACCAUAAGUGGCUGCUGAUACCUAGAGGGUCAGGAUAGUCAGUGCUUAGUUUGAGAAUCCUCACCACAAAGUAUCAGGUGCAAAUCUGGACUGCAAAUGACAUAAAAUGAUUAAUGCAGCUUUCAGAAGAUUAAUUCUACGGCAUGACGUUUCAGAUCUGUUUUUCCCUUUCCUUGUUCUGCUAUUCUGGCAAUAGAAAAGAAGAUACAAAAUAGGCUAAGACAGUAGUGUGGACAUACUUUUUUAGGUGUAUCAAGUAUAAUAUUAUGUUCGCAUCAUUAACAGAUGCCCUGAAUCCUAGGCUGAGAAAUCGUUGUAUUAUAGCUUAUGAAACAAAGUAUAUACACAGCAAAUCCCUUUCUGCCAUAAUUUUGAAGCUCAUUCUUCCUCACUAUUUUCAUCUAUUUCCAUUAAUGUCUCAUAGUGUAUGUGAUGCAACAGUAUGUCAAUUUUACCAGCUCCAGACCAGUAGUGUUGUCACUGAUGUCAUCUGGUAGGAGAAUGAACAUGCUGACUUCAUUUUCCACAUAUGGCAGCUCAAUGACUUGGAAUUUCAUGGUUGUCUCUUGAAAGAUUAAAAAUGUAUCUCUCAGAAACAUCAUCUGUACUGGCUUAGUCCUGGUCUGUGAAACAAUAAAAUGACAUAAAAAAUCAGUAGUACAACUUCAUUCCUUAGAAGUAAUGAAGAAGAUUACUUGCUUCCUUGAACUGAAAGCAAAGAUUUGGAAACAAGUGUAAGACUCAGCAACAUUUGAAUAUUUUUCCAGUACCGUUUCCUUCAGACAGUGUCACAUAUGCCCCUGUUCCAGAAUCAAUGGAAUCUUUGAAAAAAAAUUCAUAUAGACACAUAUGCUAUCAACCUGCUAACUUAAUUACAUGUAAUGUAUUUCUCACUCUAAAAACAAGGAGUGAGCUUUGAUAAGCAAAUAAUUUCUCUGUAUUUCAGGUUUCCUCA